CAAGACGUAAUGCUACACUAGAAUCUUCAUCUGAAAAGAAAGAGACAGCAAGAAAGAGAAAUAGAAGAAAGAAUAAAAAGAAGAGGUAUAUUUCGUCUAAAAAAAUGUUCGUUCUAAGCAGGAUUAGAAAUUUUCGUUUGUUUCAAUUUCAUUCUGAGCAGCCAUUUUGCACAUGUGGCAUUGAGGAAACACCUUUUUCGUUUGAAAAUUAUUUGUUUCCACAAGGAAUGAGAAUCAAAAGAACGAAAUUAAACUCUGAUGGAAUAUACCCACUAUACAGCUUGUAUUAUAUUAAAUGAUUUUCACAAAUUAUUUUUGUGAAUCAUGAAAAAUUAUACCGCUCAAAAACACUUAUACAGCAAAAGGAGAAACAUGGAAUUACUAAGUUAAUAUCACAAAUGUCAAUUAUAAUUAUCACAACUAAUUACUAAUAAUAUAAAUGAUAAACCCUAUCCCAUAGUAUCCCCUUCCU